UAUCCUCUAAAAAGAGCCACCACCACCAGCUGGAAAAUUAGAAACGUUUGCGAUGUUUAAAAGAACGGUUUAUUGCUGUGGAAAGUGUCUACGGUGCCGUAGGCGUACGUGUUUUUCCCCGGUGAGAUAAGGAGGCAGGAGCAAGGCCUCCUCCAGGCCCGAGGGAGGGCCGCCCUGUCAGGCAGCCGGCGGCGUGGGGAGAAAACUGCCCGAAAGCGGCGGCAGGGUGGCAGAGCGGCUGAGCGCGGGGCAGGUGGGGGAUCGGCCCCGCGGAGAGGGAGAAAAGGGCUUUUUAGGGCGAGCACGCAGCUGCUGCGGCCAUGAGGGGCCGGGCGAGAGGACGGAGCUGCCUUCUGAGGACGGGGUCUCAAGCACGUGGCAGCUGAUGGAAGGAGGGUAUAGUUGGUCCCGGCUCUCCUCGGCAGAGCUCGUGUUCUACCGACAACUCUCUCUGGAGCGUAACAGCUUGAAGUGUUUUCUCAGUCAUCAGGAGGAGGUGAUCCCACUGGGAACAGCUUCUUGUGAAAGUGUUAAUCUGCUGACUGUGACUGUGACUUCUCUGGGAUGUUAUUAAGCAUCCAUAUGUCAUUUCCCUCAUUCUUCUCAAAGCUCAAUGCACAAUGUCUGACACGUGCUGCAAUUCUGUGGUGAAAGCUGUUAUUACCAAAACUGUAUUUCUGA